rnacentral:tRNA from 1 species
CAGGGAGACAACAAAAUGUUAAAUAUUAAUUUUGUCACCUUAGGUCGAUCGGUACCUCACAUUCUUAAUUUUUAAGAAUUUUAUUUCCUAAGUUUUUUCUAGGUCACACCCAUUACUUUUCCUGGGCCAUUAGCUCAGGUGGUUAGAGCGCACCCCUGAUAAGGGUGAGGUCCCUGGUUCAAGUCCAGGAUGGCCCAUAUCUUUAUGUUGGGGGUAUAGCUCAGUUGGUAGAGCGCCUGCUUUGCAAGCAGGAUGUCAGCGGUUCGAGUCCGCUUACCUCCACUGAUUACCACCUCUUCCAUAUUCUGUAGAAGGGAAAUGUUUUGAGUUGUGAUCAAAUUCUGAACGAUUCUAGCUUCCUAAUUUAACUCAUUAAGAUGCUGGAUUCAUUGAAUUAAAUUCAUUGUUUUCAGAGAACCUUGACAACUGCAUAGAUUAUUUUUAAAGACAAUAAGCAUCUUUAAUGAUGCAGAUUUAUUAUUUGUGCUAAAGCAUUAAUAACAAUUCUAUUAAGCUGAUGCUUCAAUUUUUGAAGUUAUU